rnacentral:lncRNA from 1 species
AGUUUAAAUUUGGGAAAUGGCAGGUUAAAGGCUUGUAUUGGACAAUUGAGAAACAUCUAAAAAAGGUUAAAGCUGAAGUGUGCUUGAAAACCACUUUAGUGUGUUUGAAAAAAAACCAACAAAAAUUGACAGCAGCUGAGCCUGGUGCCCCCCCACUCUUUUUUUUUUUUCCACAGACAGGGAAAUGGCUCUCCUUCUCUUUCUAAAGUUGUCUAGUAAAGUAGCAGCUGUGACUACUGGGUUUAGCGGUCCAUUCCACCACUUACUUUAACGUUUGAAUGAGAAAAUUAAAGUUUCAUGCCGCCCUCCUUACCCAGCCAGUAUCAUGACCCCAGCUCUGACUGCUGGGAGUCGGUGCUACAAGUUUGUCAAUAGUAAUUUCUCUUAGCUGCCUUUCUCAGGUGAAAAGGAAACCUCAGAAAUAUAACCUGCGGCAUUUACUGAAGGAGGCGCUUGCGUCUUCAAACAUGGGCUCACAAAAAAACUGGGUUGCCCUCAGUAAACCUGCUGGCAUUUUUCUCUUCAAUGACUCCACUCCCUUUCUGUCUUGUCCCUGUGUAGGUAACGCAGAUGAACCCAUGGAGGAGGACACAAAGGAAGAAAGGGGGGAAAAGGCAGUGACCGAGGCUAACAACCCAGGGGACGAGGAGGUGGAGAACAAGAGCAAAGAGGAAGAAACUGUAGAAAAAGAGGAGCAGGUGGAGAAAAAGAGCUCUGAUGAGAAAGAGGAGAAAGCUGAGGAGGCGGAAAAGAAAAAUGAAGCAAAGCCGAAGACAGAUGACGAUGAUGAGAAAGGGCCUGCCGUAGCCAAAACGGAGGUGGUUGAAAAGGACACGCGAGGCACAGAAGAGAGCCCGAAAAGUCAAACGGUGAAAAGGCAGAAAGAAGCAAAAGAGCAGAAAGAUAAGGAGCCGGCCAGGAAAGCCCCCAUCAGCAGUUUCUUUGCUCCCAGAAAAGCAGCAGUGAAGACGGAGAAGCCGGAGAAGAAUGAGGGGGAGAAAAAGACGAGUCCAGAGAGGAAGAGGUCAGAGGAGGAGAGUAAAGACACGAAAGGGUAA